UGCUGAAACGAAAGCCAAUCCAAUCCAUUCAUAAAUUAUUCAAAUUCUACGUGUGAGUAACCGAGAGAAAGAGGCGCCGUGGGUGUCUGACAGACACGUAGUACACGUAAGCACGGAUCUCGGUUCCCGCAUAGCAGGCAGGUUGAUUCAAGGCAGUUCUCGAGAAUUUCAAACAUUUCUGAAUCUGUUUACUCGGGCAACCGCCUACGCCUACCCGCCUACACCCAUAGCAUGCCCGCACCGAAAUGGUCGCACUCGGCAUUCCUCCAAAGUGAGAACUUUUCGCGCAUUAAUGGAGGCUUAAGUCAUCUCAUCUAAAGUGGGCAUCACUUGAGCACACACAAAGCAUGUGGGGUGGGGUAGAUCAAAGAAUCACAGCAGUUAAGUGACAGAUAAUACGAAUCUGAAAUCCCAUUACAAAUGCCACAAAAUUUGCCAUUUUUGCAAUAUUCUUAGGCUUCAGAGAGAACAAGGGAACUUUUCCCAAUGCUCUCUCUAAAACAGUGAUAGGCACGCACAUAUUCACAUGUCUUGCAGUUGUUUGUGUGCGUAGACAGAAGGCAAAGCGGAAUAUUGUAUUGGGGCCAACAACUGUUAUACACGUGUACGUGAGGGGCAGCGCAGCAGCAGCGCACUUUCCUAUGCACAUAAGAUAGGGCCUUGCCGAUCGCUGCUCUAAAAGAGCCUAAUUUAAAAGUGUAUUCGUGCUUAAAAUAGGUUGCAUUUCAGCCAAAUUAUGACUUAUGACAGUAUCUACCUGCUACAAAAAGGUAAUACCAUUGGCCAGGGUAUCAACAAAACGGCAUUGGAUUCGAUUGCCGAAAUGCCACACAAAAGCACACGCAUACAUUCACACAUUCAAAGGCCAAAAAGUCACAGAAAUUCAAUGUCAAACUGGUUUUCACUUUCAGCGUGUCCUUUACACUCCUUUUACGUAUGACUGGGACAGAAAACGAGGCAUAUACAUAUGCACAUAAACGAUAACCUUGAGAAGAGAGAUUCACUUAAUGAGAGAUACAGAUACAGUGGGAGAGCGAAUGAGCGUGAUGCAAAAAAAUUCGUCAAUCACACACAAGAAUGAUGACCGGCGAUGAUGUCAUAUACUAGUCCCAGAGGCUGCACUGCACCACUCGACAGACAGCCCUGACAACCACUGCACUGGGGACGGGGACCUGCCUUCUGCCUGUCACAUAAGCAAUCCAAUCAAAACGAAGCUAAAUAAAUCACGUUAUCACGGGGAUCCAGCACUGAGGAAUCGCUCGCCAUAUGGUCAAGAGUAGAGAGCUAAUAGAGACACAAAAAAAUCACUCGCAUAAGCAAAAAUAUCAUGCAUAAAAUAUCAUACAAUAAUAUACAUAAA